AGCGAACGCUGGCGGCAGGCCUAACACGUGCAAGUCGAACGGAUCCUUCGGGAUUAGUGGCGGACGGGUGAGUAACACAUGGGAACGUGCCCUUUGGUUCGGAACAACUCAGGGAAACUUGCGCUAAUACCGGAUGUGCCCUUCGGGGGAAAGAUUUAUCGCCAUUGGAGCGGCCCGCGUCUGAUUAGCUAGUUGGUGAGGUAAAGGCUCACCAAGGCGACGAUCAGUAGCUGGUCUGAGCGGAUGAUCAGCCACAUUGGGACUGAGCCACGGCCCAAACUCCUACGGGAGGCAGCAGUGGGGAAUCUUGCGCAAUGGGCGAAAGCCUGACGCAGCCAUGCCGCGUGAAUGAUGAAGGUCUUAGGAUUGUAAAAUUCUUUCACCGGGGACGAUAAUGACGGUACCCGGAGAAGAAGCCCCGGCUAACUUCGUGCCAGCCGCCGCGGUAACAC
rnacentral:rRNA from 1 species